UUACUGUCAUUCAUAUUCACCCAGUUCAAUGUAACAGUGACAGGUUUAGGUUUCUGUCAUUCAUAUUCACCCAGUUCAAUGUAACAGUGACAGGUUUAGGUUUCUGUCAUUCAUAUUCACCCAGUUCAAUGUAACAGUGAUAGGUUUAGGUUACUGUCAUUCAUAUUCACCCAGUUCAAUGUAACAGUGACAGGUUUAGGUUACUGUCAUUCACAUUCACCCAGUUCAAUGUAACAGUGACAGGUUUAGGUUACUACAUGAUACUAGAAUGUUCCCUGUACCCAUCAUGAGGUUGCUACAGCCUAGCCUAUGAAUUCAAGUUUACAACGUAGGCACACAGGUCGAGAGAUACAUUUGAGGUGACAGACCGUGACAUUCAAUAUCGCCUUGCACACGCUUGCCUGCAUCUAGCUGAUCUAGGGUGUAGUCAUUAGU
ensembl:lncRNA